rnacentral:tRNA from 2 species
GAAAUAAGAAACCCAAGAUUAAGCUUCUAACUUAAAUCUUUAGCGAUGAAAUUCGUUAUUAUUUCU